rnacentral:rRNA from 1 species
AGUGAACGCUGGCGGUAGGCCUAACACAUGCAAGUCGAACGGCAGCACAGUAAGAGCUUGCUCUUACGGGUGGCGAGUGGCGGACGGGUGAGGAAUACAUCGGAAUCUACUUUUUCGUGGGGGAUAACGUAGGGAAACUUACGCUAAUACCACAAACGACCUACGGGUGAAAGCAGGGGAUCUUCGGACCUUGCGCGAUUGAAUGAGCCGAUGUCGGAUUAGCUAGUUGGCGGGGUAAAGGCCCACCAAGGCGACGAUCCGUAGCUGGUCUGAGAGGAUGAUCAGCCACACUGGAACUGAGACACGGUCCAGACUCCUACGGGAGGCAGCAGUGGGGAAUAUUGGACAAUGGGCGCAAGCCUGAUCCAGCCAUACCGCGUGGGUGAAGAAGGCCUUCGGGUUGUAAAGCCCUUUUGUUGGGAAAGAAAAGCAGCAGGUUAAUACCCCGCUGUUCUGACGGUACCCAAAGAAUAAGCACCGGCUAACUUCGUG